rnacentral:rRNA from 1 species
AACGAACGCUGGCGGCAUGCCUAACACAUGCAAGUCGAACGAGACCUUCGGGUCUAGUGGCGCACGGGUGCGUAACGCGUGGGAAUCUGCCCUUGGGUGCGGAAUAACAGUUAGAAAUGACUGCUAAUACCGCAUAAUGACUCCGGUCCAAAGAUUUAUCGCCCAAGGAUGAGCCCGCGCCGGGUUAGCUAGUUGGUGAGGUAAAAGCUCACCAAGGCGACGAUCCGUAGCUGGUCUGAGAGGAUGAUCAGCCACACUGGGACUGAGACACGGCCCAGACUCCUACGGGAGGCAGCAGUGGGGAAUAUUGGACAAUGGGCGAAAGCCUGAUCCAGCAAUGCCGCGUGAGUGAUGAAGGCCUUAGGGUUGUAAAGCUCUUUUACCCGGGAUGAUAAUGACAGUACCGGGAGAAUAAGCCCCGGCUAACUCCGUGCCAGCCGCCGCAGUAAUAC